GGAGUGCUCGAAAGAGAGCCGUAACACAGGUGCUGCAUGGCUGUCGUCAGCUCGUGUCGUGAGAUGUUGGGUUAAGUCCCGCAACGAGCGCAACCCUUGCCAUUAGUUGCUACGAAAGGGCACUCUAAUGGGACUGCCGGUGACAAACCGGAGGAAGGUGGGGAUGACGUCAAGUCCUCAUGGCCCUUAUAGGUGGGGCUACACACGUCAUACAAUGGCUGGUACAGAGGGUUGCCAACCCGCGAGGGGGAGCUAAUCCCAUAAAGCCAGUCGUAGUCCGGAUCGCAGUCUGCAACUCGACUGCGUGAAGUCGGAAUCGCUAGUAAUCGCGGAUCAGAAUGUCGCGGUGAAUACGUUCCCGGGUCUUGUACACACCGCCCGUCACACCAUGGGAGCGGGUUCUGCCAGAAGUAGGUAGCCUAACCGUAAGGAGGGCGCUUACCACGGCAGGGUUCGUGACUGGGGUGAAGUCGUAACAAGGUAGCCGUAUCGGAAGGUGCGGCUGGAUCACCUC
rnacentral:rRNA from 1 species